GGACAGACAGAGAAUUGCAACUAGAAAUUCGAUCUAUUGGUACGAGACACCACGUGCUCGCGGGCUGGCCAAUGACCAGGACGCCCGGGAUGAGCUAAUAAUGGAAGCAAUUUGUAACUUUCAGUAGCUCUCUAGGCCUAGGUACCGGUGGGAGGGAGGCUGGCGGAGGGGGGGACAGCACCCCCAGUUUUUCUGCCCAGCUUGUUUGUCUGGGGAAACUCGGAGCCCCUGGCCCUCCUUUUCCCUUACGAGCAAUCUCGAGCAGAGUUCUUCGUUCACUCCUGACCGGACACACAGCCAGAUUCCUCCAUCUCAGAAGUCACACCUUCCAUAAUUCUCAGCUUUAAAUCAGCCCGCCCCCAGCCUCAGAGGGGUGCCUGGGAAGAAGAAUCAAGACUGACCUAUUCCUACACUGUCCCAACUGGGGACACCCCCAUCUGUUUCCAAAGUCAGCUGAGAUAGAACUCCCGGAAAAGAAAUACAAUGUUUACUUUCACUUUACUUUUGAUCAAGCUGGUUUCUCCAGUGGUGGGGGAAUCCUUUUGUGUUUGUUUGUUUUUUUUUAGACAACAUCUUACUAUGUAGCCUUGUCUGGCCUGAAAGUCAACUAUGUAGACCAGGCUGACUUCCAACUCUGAGCUCCACUUGCCUGUGCCUACCAAGUGCUGGGAUUAAAAGUCUGUGCCGUCACUCCUGGCUAAUUUUCUCUUUUAAAAGAUAUUACUAAGAAGGCAAACUAUUAGAGUGUGUAAUCUAGAGUUCUAAUCUACUCAGAAUUAUUGAAGCGUACAAAAGUUAGAUUGCAAGAGUAACUCACACUCUGGGGAGAUGGGAAGAUGGCUCAGGGUGACUGCAUUUGUAUCUCUGUGCUGGGCAGAAGAGUAGCUGCUCCUCCCUCUGGUUCCAGCCCCAUUGUCACAUUGACAUUCUGGGCACAUGUGGCCCAGCCCCCACCCGCUCCUCCAAGUAUGAAUCUAAAUUACUAUUAAUAAGGGGCUGCUCCAAGCUAAUUGGCAUUAAAAGAAUUCAUUUCAAUUUGUUAAUAUUAAAUGAACACUCUGCACUUUAGCUCCCUUCCUCGCCCUGGAUUCCCAGAUGAGUGAUGGGAAGCAGGGCGGGGGAGCAGGCAGGAUUUUAUGUCUGGCUUUCUAGCUUGGCCAUUGCUGGGCCUUCCCUGGGGUUGUGAGACCAGGCAAGGUGGAGACCUGAUGGGGAGAAAUAGGUCUUAUUCUUUAUCAUCCUGUAAAGCAGGAGCUGUGGGUUAAGGGUGGGUGAAUGAGGGUCAAAGGAGAGACACAAAAAGAUUUAGGGGUUAGUGUGGUAGAGAAAGGCAGCGGCUAGGAGACUAAGAAGGAAAGUCAGUGGGCUGAAUAGAAAUUUCAAAACACAGGGAUUGUGGGUAAUGGGUGAGUUAGAUUUAGGAGGAAAGGCCCAUGCAGCUGAAAAUCCAACCCCAGGGUUUAAGGCAGCAGCUGUGGUCCUGCAGUUGCUAGCAUGGGACCUUGGACUUUUCUGUCAUUUCAGUUUCUGGUCUGUGAAGCAAGGAUUGUAUAAUGAAGGAUCUGUCUUAGGGUUGUCUGAGAUUCCAUGAGACACACAUGAUGUAUUCUGCAUGGUGCUGGGUACAUAGAUAUAUGCACUACUACAUGUUGGCUCACUUUCUGAACCAGUAGCUGCUGGAUUGGACUCCCAGACCUGACUUGAAUUAGUUGUAUGCUCUCCAAGUGGUUAUCUGUUUUCUUAUUGGUAGCAGAGUGAAUAGCUCCUGGGCUCAGGCGUGGAAGGUAGAAGGGCAUUUCGGUGCGAAGUGCCUGGGACAACUCAAGUCUCAUCAUGCUACAUGAAAGCUUCUGUGGCCGAUGUUGCCCUUUGGGUGAGUGAGCAAGGUGAAAGUGGGCAGGUUGAGAAGGUUCCUUACAGCUGAGUGCUCUGGGGUUGCCUAGACUGUGAGCACAGCACCUAUUUACCAUCCUUAGAAAUCUGGGGGUGUAGGAAGGCAGCCUGGAGGCUGUAAGGGCUCAGUUCUUCCCUGUCUCCAUUCUGGCUCUUGGGUUGAUAGUACCCUCCUAGCACUCAUCCUCUCGAAAGAAGAAGCCCCUUCCCUUUUCCUCUGGGUGCUAUUGAUGGAGAAUUUGCUCUCUUGACUCCACAUCUCCCUAUAAUGACAGAGAGUCCCCAGAGAGUGGGCUGGGAGAUGGGAGAGAGUCGAAUACUUACUAAACACCCUCUUAUGUUCUAGACCUCACUCAGCAGGAGCCAAAACAAGAUCCAAGGAGAAGGGGACCUGACAAAGUGCAAGGGACAAAGUAUCCACGUUGAAACUUGAGCUCUUUUUUUCCUCUUUACUAUAGAAAAAAUGCACAGGAUGGUUACAUGCUUGUAUAGUAGUCAUGAAGUCUUGACUUUUGGGUUUUGUUAUGAGACAGGAUCUCUCCUGCAGCCCAAGCUGGCCCGAAACUUGCUAUGUAGCAUAGAUGACCUUGGACUUCUGGUUCUCCUGACUCUGCUUCUCAAGUGCUGGGCUCACAGGUAGGAGUUACCAUGUCUGGUCGAUAGAACACACAUCUCAAUGCCUCCUUCCCAUGCUGUAUAUUUCUGAAGGAGGCGGCAAAAGCAAUCGCCUGAAGGGAAAGGCAGCACAUACGUAAAGUCAGGGGCAGGAUGGGGCCAGAUCACUACAGAAGAUGGAGUGUGCAUCGGGGAGGGGGCUAAUAUUCUGAUAUUCCGUCUGAGACUUCCCAGAGCAGGUAACUAUGGGUCAGGAUUUCAGUGGAUGUGAAAGGUAAUGAGGACAGAAAACAUAGGGACGGAGUUACACAUUCUAGAGGAAGGAGAAGAAGAAAAGAUCCUGCCAAGGCUGGCUAAGAGUGGAGAGAUAAAGCACAUCUGCCUUGCUGGCACCAAGUCAAAGCAAUCACCACUCACUGAGGGCACACACUGUGUGUAAGGCACAUAAGAGACCUCAAUUGGUGCUCACAACAGUUUUGACAAGUGGGUUGUAGCACCUCUGAAGGCUCCUGCUCCUGAGAGUCUACGUUGGGUCUUAGCAUAGUUGAUCCGCACAGAACUCAUGCUUAGGAUAAUCACCCUUGCUGUCUGUCCCUCCUUCCAUUCCAGUUUCAGGCUGUCCAGUGGCCCCACUUUUAUAGUCACACUUAGAAACUGGGGGAAAGGGGUUAGCAGUGGGUGAGACCAUGAGAGGGAGUUGUGGUCAGGCAGUGGAGACAGGAACUGUUCUCAUCUCUACACCAAGAAGGAUGAAGGAAUUCUCUAUGGACAGAGCUGCUAAGUCACUCUUCUGGGGCUGCUGCUUGUGGGUGAAUCACAGGGGCCUGACUGGGCUGCAACUCUUCUAGGUGAUGGUUUUUGUGGCUUUUCCCCAGGGACAUCCAGUAGAGAUUUGAGUCAUCAGUAAAGAGUGUCAGUUGUCACAGAAGUCUAUUCUCUGUUUGUAUGACCACAGAGAGCCUUCUAUUCUAACACCACUUCCCAGCAUCCUGGUCAGGUGUGGCCAGUGGAAGCAAGAGCCCAGUGAGGCUGCUCAAGCCCUAGGGCAUGGUGUAACUCACACGGAGCACAACCCUACUUGGAACGGACAGUUCAUGGCUUUAGAAUUUCCAUGGACAUGUGCAACUGACAGCACAAUCGGUAUAAGAGUAUUCUGAGUCCUCAGAGAGCAGCCUCCUGCUCACAGGUGACCACUUCCUUAUCCUGGAUAUCCCUUCUGAUUGAGCAGCCAAGGAGCUGCCUUCUACCUCAAUGUCUUUCCUAUUCAGGACUGCGAUAGGAAUGGCUUCAUGCAGUAGGUGGCCUUCUGUGAUUGGUUCCUUUUCCUUGGUUAUGCCAUGUCAAAGCACACAACUACCCUUGUUCCUUCUCACGGAUAAGUGACUUCAACGGUUGACAGACCACAUUCUGGGUAUGUAUUCAUCAGUACAUGGGCAUUUGGGUGUUCCCAUGUCCAGACAUUAUGAUUCUCUAUGUCUUUAGACAGUUUGAAUCAUCUAGAGUGAUGUCUGUGGCCAGAAAGAAGCCUGACUUGUGAGUGGGAGCCUCCGGUGUCCAUGGAAGCCAGGCCUUUGCACUUGGUUCUGGUGCUUCUCCCCGGGUUAAAUUGCUGAGGAUGGCCUCCUUUAUCCAGUAGCUCUCCCUUUGGACCCAUGCUGUCCUGAGACCCCUCUCCUGCAGCUCCAGAGUCUAAGUGGAUAAACAGAAAUACUUCCCCAAGGACGGCCCCAUGCAAUCCUUUGUGCCAGUAAAUGGAAACCCCUGGGCCAAGGGAAAGUCAAAUUCUUGAGGGUGUGGCUGCUUCAGAGUCCAUCCAGGUCUCCUUCCCAUGUCCCCACCUCACCUCUCUCAGUCUACUCUUUCUACUGACACCAGACCCUGCCCUACCUGCAUCAACCCUGCUAUACCAGUGGGACCAGCAGGAUGCGUACAAGAAGUCCAAAUAGUGCCAGGUUGCAUUUGUUGAACGAGUGGAUGAGGGAUGACUCCUUACUCUGGGAAUGCACUGUGGAGAGAAUCAGUUAGAAAGCCUCUUUCUGGCUGGGGAUUUAGCUCAGUGGUAG
rnacentral:sRNA from 1 species